UUAAAUGUGAAUUGAUUUAUGAUUGAUUACGCUUACUUAAAAGUGAUUCUUAUAAAUUGAUGAUGUUUGGAUAG
rnacentral:pre_miRNA from 1 species